CGGUCCAGACUCCUACGGGAGGCAGCAGUAGGGAAUCUUCCGCAAUGGGCGAAAGCCUGACGGAGCAACGCCGCGUGAGUGAUGAAGGUCUUCGGAUCGUAAAACUCUGUUAUUAGGGAAGAACAAAUGUGUAAGUAACUAUGCACGUCUUCGACGGUACCUAAUCAGAAAGCCACGGCUAACUACGUGCCAGCAGCCGCGGUAA
rnacentral:rRNA from 1 species